rnacentral:lncRNA from 1 species
CAAACUAUGAUUGAAGGACCACAGUUGAGAAGAGAAAGAGAGCUUAUGUGGAUCUGCAGGGGAAGAUCUCCCUGAGGAAGUGGCAUUUAAGCUGAUAUGAAGAAUGAUAUAUCAGAAGCAACAUGAGCUUUGAGUACAAAAUUGUCAUGAACAUUGGCUUGACGAAAGCAGUCCACAAGAAAUUCCUGAUACUGCCCACCAGAAGUUAUCCUGCUUUUAGUGAGCACCGUGCUUGACAAUACGAGAACCCUAACUACCUAAGUUCACCAGCCGUUCAUUGAAGAAGAUAAAGAUGAAGGCAAACACCAGCCUGGUACCACCCACCAUGAGGAAGGAAAGGCAAGUUAGGUUUCAGUAUGGCUCAGCCUGGCGACUGAAGCGACACAUGGACACUCGCCUCAAGUAGUCCACAAAGGUAUUUCCCCCAAGAGCAUUCCCAAAAGCUUCC